UACAGAGGGGGCAAGCGUUGUUCGGAAUUACUGGGCGUAAAGGGCGCGUAGGCGGCCUUCUAAGUCGAACGUGAAAUCCCCGGGCUCAACCCGGGAACUGCGUCCGAGACUGGAAGGCUCGAAUCCGGGAGAGGGAUGUGGAAUUCCAGGUGUAGCGGUGAAAUGCGUAGAUAUUGGGAGGAACACCGGUGGCGAAGGCGGCCCCCUGGACCGGUACUGACGCUGAGGCGCGAAAGCGUGGGUAGCAAACGGG
rnacentral:rRNA from 1 species